CCACGGACUCCCCCGCGCCCCCGCCGCCCCUUCGAUUCCCCAAUCCCCACUUGCCCGUCUCCUCCACGGACCCCCAAAAAUCCCAAAUUGCCGGCGGAGCCCUAACUCUGUUGCUACUGCCAGAUCAUGAGAUCAGGACACCUCCGGCGGAAUCGGCGCCACACCUUGGAGGCUUGCGCUGCUCGGCGCGUCCCCCGUCGCGUCCUUCCUCCAGCUACACCUUCAGGAUUCGCGCCGCUCUGGUCCGAGGGCUUUGGACCGUCUUCUUACCUCUGUGCACAUGUCUUAUCCGUUCAUGUGCAAAGCAGGACGAUUACGCCAUCAACGGGUGCUGGACACGGACUCUUCCACCCUCCUUUGCCAGUGUUGUGUCAUGCUUGACCAUGCCAUCAACUUGUGUCAGACACGGACUCCACAUGAACUCCCUCCUUUGCCACAUAAUAGACAUCAAGCGCUCUAUGGUAGCAUCCAAUCUCGCUGUUCUACCAACUUCGCCUGAACACCGACUGCCGGUGCUCCACCUCAGGUUGUUGCUCGAGUAUUUCUUAUUGCAGACCAUGCUGUAGAGACACAUAAACCGCCACUGCUGCUUUUGCUUUGUGACAUUUUCAGAUCCACAGAUAGAUCUGCUGAUGGAUUUAAGUUUUCAUUCACCAACUUCAAAUACUCAAUUCCUCGGAGAUGAGGAUCGUUCUGCAGCUCAUGUAUGGUUUGCCCUACUUGCCGCCACCCAGGCGGCCCUUGUCAACCACAUCUUGAAGCUCUCCAGCAGUUUGAGGUUAUUCUUGAUGAGAAUUGCUGGAGACGCAUGGUUAAUAAGCAUCUUUACUAUAGUUAUCUGUUUAUCUUAAACACUAGUCGUUUGGUAGAAUUACAACUAUUAGUUGCUUACAACACAAUAGAAAUCGUCACUCUUCUUCGCAUCCCUUUGCACCUAUAUUAGGUUCCCCUAUUGUCACUUCUUUGUACUUGUACUCUGUUUUCUUUUCUGUUGGUUUGCCGGUUUAUGCCUUAAUUAUUCUAGUGUGUCUUUAGUUCCACUUAAAAAUCGUCCACCUAUGCCAAAAUUUGUAGUCAUUAAUGUAUCAUACCAUUAUGUUGUUAUCUUUAAUUGUUAUCAAAUAUUCAUAUGCAAUCUAAGAAAACUUUUAACGUUAAUGGUCGGUGAGUUCAAAUUUAUACUUACAGGUUGUUAUUUUUACUAUUUUUCCAGUAUGUACCUUGUAAUGUUAGAGCUUUUCUCGCUAAAUACAUUGAUGAGAUGAAGGAAGAUGCAAGAAUAUUGCAUAAAGAGCAGGUAGAGCUAGCCCUUCUUACCCAUGAAGGAAGGUCUUACAAUGCUUUGUUUAAGCAUAGGGUGAACUACACCAAGUUUUGUGAUGGUGGUUGGUGCAACUUUGCGUAUGAUUAUGAUCUACAUGCUGGAGAUCGCAUAGAAUUUUAACUAUCAGAUGAGGGACUAAAUCUGGCAAUACAAACAUAUCGGGGUGAGAAAAGGUUGCUUUCAUUACCUCACGUUGGUAGGUAUUUAAUAUUCCAAAAUAAUAUUUUUCGUUGCAUGUGAUACACAUGCAUGAUGCUAAAUAAUAUUAACCCCGUGUUGGAUAUAUCUUUAUGUAACUUUGAAUACUUGGUCUUUUUCUAGCUCUCAACGAUCUUUCUUCUAACGAUUUCGACCAUGUUCAGUGUUGUGUCUACUCUCGGGAUAUUGAGCUUACCUACGACCAGACACGCUUCUUUCUACAACACCUUAUCCGAGAUAUUUUCAUCUGCUGUCGUCUGUUUGUCCACGUGUUGACUCCCACUAACACCAAAGACUGCAUCAUGAAAAUUUCGAGGAGUGUUGUCUCGACCCUGAAGAGAUGGGUGGAUGUGCCAACCAAUGCCAGGGUGACUCUUGAAACUCCUGAUGAACCUACUCAUGUCAUCACUCCUUCGUCAUACUACACUCCUUCAUCAUACCACAUCUGCAAAAAAGACGGCUGGAUGGUAAUUGAAAAGUCUUCUUUCAGAUACUUCAUAUCAGCUGCAUCCUUUGUUGAAGAGAAUGUUGUUCUGGUCACAUUCAAAGAGCACAAUGAUCAUUUUGUG